GACGAACGCUUGCGACGUGCCUAAGAAAUGCAAGUCGAACGGGGGAGCAAUCCCUACGUGGCGAACGGUCGCGUAACACGUGGGCAACCUGCCCUGAAGCGGGGGACAACAGUCCGAAAGGGCUGCUAAUACCGCAUGUGAAGGGGAAUGGCAUCAUUCCUUGUUCAAAGCUUUAUGCACUUCAGGAUGGGCCCGCGGCCUAUCAGCUUGUUGGUGGGGUAACGGCCUACCAAGGCUUCGACGGGUAGCUGGUCUGAGAGGACGGCCAGCCGGAUUGGGACUGAGACACGGCCCAAACUCCUACGGGGGGCAGCAAUCAGGAAGUCUUGCGCAAUGGGGGAACCCGUAGACGCAGCGACGUCGCGUGGAGGAUGACGGCC
rnacentral:rRNA from 1 species